rnacentral:lncRNA from 1 species
GAGACAGAGAGGGAGAGUGGGAGAGGUGAAGAGAAGAUUGAGAGCCCUGGGACAGAUCUUUCUCAAACCAGAGCAACCAUAGGGUUCUUUCCUCCGGUGGCCAAAGUUUAUUUGACACAACAAAGUUUUUAAUCAGGCCAGAGAGACUUGCAUUUCUCAUUUGCCUAUUUCCUUGUCUUUUCUUCCGAAGACUUUGCAAGGAAGGAUGGCUUUAGGUCAAAUUGCUAAGGUCUGAUCUUAAAGAUCUAAUUGCUAUCGGAAAAGAAGGCUGUUUCCCAGCUGGGCCUCCACUCGAGAUGGUGCACGGAAGACUGUCCACUCUGCUGAGGGCACCCUGCUGAUGGAUGAGGUGUCAGGCCAGUUCGUCAUGUGAGCACUGGCUUCCAAAUGGUAUGAGCAAUCGUCAAAUGUGCUUAUUGCUGAUACUGAACGCAGUCUGUAGAUUUUAUACUUCAUGAUGUUUCAUGAUCCAUAUAGAAGACUGAACUUGCUUGGUACAGUAAAGAGAACUGUUCUUGAAGUGAAAGAAAGCGAUAAAUAGUUUUAGGGAUAGAAAUGGUUCUAAAUGGUCAAUACUACCAGAGCUUUCUUUACUCAGAGUUUUUUUUUUUUAAAUAGAUCUUAUUUUAUGCUUGUAACUUGGUUGUUUGUCUGUCACUUAUUCUGCUACAUCAGCUUUAUGUAUUAAUAUAAUCGACUCAGAACUCACCUAGACAGUUUUUUGAUGGCAAAAUUUCCCCACUUUCUGACUGGAAAUUGUAAGCCAGUAAUUCUUUUUUUUCUCCUUCAUUCCUUCUUUCCCUUUCUUAUUAACUGUUUCACAUUUCUCAGGUUGUAAUUUAGUCAAAUGAGCAAAGCUCUUUUGUAAAGGCUGGUGUUUACAAGUGAAUAGAGGCGAGAGAUAUUGAAUCUUGGUUGUUAACCGACAUUAACCAAUUAUUUACUAAAGAAAUAGAGAUGAAUAUGAAAGUAUUCUUUUAAGUUUAAAUUUUCAUUCAUGUGUACUUUUGGAAUAUUGAACACCCAUUUCACUUGUUAUGAUUCAAGAAAGGUUUUAAAUCCAGAAAAUAUUUGUAUGAGGGAUUGUAAACUGACCAAAUUAAGCUGUAGAAUGAGAUGUCUUAGUAAUGAAAGCAAGCAUGCAAAAUUACUUGGUAGUAAAGCAAAUUGGAAUUUGCCAGAUUUUAUAUAUAGAAAUGUUAAAAUAGUUUGUGUGGUUUGGUCUCAAGAAGUGCAUUUUACUUAGAUGCCUACAAGUCAAGAUUGCAUCUCUUAUGUACGAAAUAUUGUGUGAUUCAGAUUUUGCAGAGCUCGACAGUUCUUGCAAUGGAGUAAUCAACUGUUAUCUGAAUUAUUUAAAGGCUGGUAUUAAAUAAAGGCCUUGGAGUUGAAUGCUGACAAGCUCUCACAUGUAGUAGGCAGGAGGAAGUUCAGUGGUCUUUCCUCUCGGUAGGUAGAUAUACUUUCAAGAUUAUUUUUUCCAAAUGUGGAGAAUGGUUUGUAAAAUUUAUGCACAGAUAAGAACAAUGAAUAAUUCUUUUAGAAAUUUUUCUCAAAAUGAGCAAAUAGGAUUAUUCAGAGAAGCAGUAGGCAACUGUUCAAUACACAGUAAUGUGCCACCUGAAAUAUAAUCAAGACUGUUUCACACACACACACACACACACACACACACACACACACACACACUCACACACACACACACACACACAGAGGAAAUCUAGUCUGAUUCAGAAAAAUAAUAUUUUGGAUGUAGAAUACAAUCAUUAUAAACACUAGUAUGUAGGACAUGGCUUUUUUGGUUAUAUUUUUAACUUUUGGCAAUUGGUUUGACAUCCUAAUUUUCGCAGAGCAAUGUGUUUUGCAUUUGUGUAGAUAUUUCUAUUUGUAGACAGGAGGUACUAAAUGCAGCUGAUCUUUCACAUAUUUUCUUGUGAGUUUCAUUGAAUAAGCAAAUAAAGAAAGUUUUAAUCUGAGCAUAUAAAGCAUUGCAUGUGUAUGUGUAUCAUUACAUAGUAUACCAUUUUAACACAUACUUACAGAUUUUAAUACCUUCCCAUUCUUUCCUUCAUUCUUCCUCUUUCAUCUUCAUAAAAAAAACAGAGAAAUUAAGUAAAUGGUAUUGUAAUGACAGUCUGUUAAAUAUACCAGUGAAUUUGUAUGGAAAUUAGAUUAUCUUCUACAUUUGUCAAAGUACAAAGAUAUAAUACAUAUAUAGAUUCAGCAAAUGUUUAAAACAGAAAAAAUGUUAUUUGUUAAUAUUCACCACGAAGGCAAUAUUUAUUAAAUUUGGUGUAUCUUUAUGAUAUCAUUAAUAUUAUUUCCAGGAACAUUAAUUCUGGGCUAGUACAUACACAUAGUUUAGUCUUUAAAAUAAAAUAUAUCUGGUUGAACUCUAAAAGAGAUGUGAGAAAGCAAGGUAAAAAUUACUUUGUGAGUAUCUAAGUCAUCUACUUACCAUGAAAUAUAUAUCUGUCUUUUAAAAAGCCAUAUGGAUUGUUUUCUUUUUGUACCAAUGAUAUUUAAAUGUAUUUCAACUACAAAGGUAAACAAAUGUCUUCAUAGAGUUGAAUAUUUUUAAACCUGUAAAAAAAUGGCAAGAUGGCAUGAGAUGGCCUUUUAAAAAGUCAUAUUCAGUCUGGUCAGUUUAUUUGGAAUUAUAUUUCAGGUUUUCUUUGAUUUUCCUUCAAGGCAGUUGUAUAUAAUCCAUUUUUUUCUUAUUUUCAUCUUGAACCUACUUUGUCACAUUCAAUUUAAAUUUAUAUCAACAUGAUCUGACAAACUAGAACCAAUAGGUUAUCAUUAAGCAAACUGUAAACUCCACCAAAAUGUUGCCUUUGUGCUUAUUUUAUCUAAAAGUAAAUCAAUUGUGUUUUUUAUGAUAGGGAGGAGGUAAAAAGAAGCUAAGAUAGAUUUUAGUUUCUCCCCUUUGUUUUUCUCAGUUGUUAAAGAAUUCUGGUUAGCAGUGUACACUUAAGACUUCUGUGGAGAUGCUCAGCCUGUUAUUUAUUUAUUCAUAAGCUUCGAGCUCACUAGAGAUUCAAAGUUAUAUUUAAGAGAGCAGAGGCCCACAUGAUAUAUGUUUAUUUGAUUCUUCAAUCUAAAUACUUUAUGAGUAUACUAAUAGUUAUUUUUAAGAGAAAUUUCAUUAGGUUUAUAUGAUGUGCACUUAAACAUCUGUGAUAUGCUUCUGUGUACGGUAGGAUAUAAUACCUCAUUCUUAUUGGAAUAAAGGAAAGUAGACAUUCAGACUGAAACAUUUCUCUAAAACUAUGUUCCUUUUUCUUAGCAUAGUAUUUUCUCAACUAAUUACAUUUUGUCUAAUAUAUUGUGAAAACCAUUUUUGACUUUGAUAUCAGUUUCUCAACCAGAAAACUAUGUGCUUAUUCAAUCAUUUAUGACAAGGAAAAUUAUUCUAGAGAAUUUUUACCAAGUUAUCUAAAGAUAUACUUGUAUAUGCUUAAACUGCUUUACAUUCUAGUGGUUUACUUGUGUUUGUCAUAUUGUUAAAGAUAAGAAUUUAGUAUUCCUUUUAAUAAUGGUUGCUUUUUAAGAAGAUCAAAGUCAAGUGUUAAAACUUUCUAUAAAAUAAAAAGUAUAUGAUUUAACACUU